AACGAACGCUGGCGGCAUGCCUAACACAUGCAAGUCGAACGAGACCUUCGGGUCUAGUGGCGCACGGGUGCGUAACGCGUGGGAACCUGCCCUUAGGUUCGGAAUAACUCCCCGAAAGGGGUGCUAAUACCGGAUAAUGUCUUCGGACCAAAGAUUUAUCGCCUUUGGAUGGGCCCGCGUUGGAUUAGCUAGUUGGUAGGAUAAAAGCCUACCAAGGCGACGAUCCAUAGCUGGUCUGAGAGGAUGAUCAGCCACACUGGGACUGAGACACGGCCCAGACUCCUACGGGAGGCAGCAGUGGGGAAUAUUGGACAAUGGGCGAAAGCCUGAUCCAGCAAUGCCGCGUGAGUGAUGAAGGCCUUAGGGUUGUAAAGCUCUUUUACCCGGGAUGAUAAUGACAGUACCGGGAGAAUAAGCUCCGGCUAACUCCGUA
rnacentral:rRNA from 1 species